UGGAUCCAGACUUUGAUUAUGGCUCAGGAUGAACGCUAGCUACAGGCUUAACACAUGCAAGUCGAGGGGAAACGAUAUUGGAAGCUUGCUUCCGAUAGGCGUCGACCGGCGCACGGGUGAGUAACGCGUAUCCAACCUGCCCAUCACUUGGGGAUAACCUUGCGAAAGUAAGACUAAUACCCAAUGACGUCUCUAGAAGACAUCUGAAAGAGAUUAAAGAUUUAUCGGUGAUGGAUGGGGAUGCGUCUGAUUAGCUUGUUGGCGGGGUAACGGCCCACCAAGGCAACGAUCAGUAGGGGUUCUGAGAGGAAGGUCCCCCACAUUGGAACUGAGACACGGUCCAAACUCCUACGGGAGGCAGCAGUGAGGAAUAUUGGUCAAUGGACGAGAGUCUGAACCAGCCAAGUAGCGUGCAGGAUGACGGCCCUAUGGGUUGUAAACUGCUUUUAUAAGGGAAUAAAGUGAGUCUCGUGAGACUUUUUGCAUGUACCUUAUGAAUAAGGACCGGCUAAUUCCGUGCCAGCAGCCGCGGUAAUACGGAAGGUCCGGGCGUUAUCCGGAUUUAUUGGGUUUAAAGGGAGCGUAGGCCGGAGAUUAAGCGUGUUGUGAAAUGUAGACGCUCAACGUCUGCACUGCAGCGCGAACUGGUUUCCUUGAGUACGCACAAAGUGGGCGGAAUUCGUGGUGUAGCGGUGAAAUGCUUAGAUAUCACGAAGAACUCCGAUUGCGAAGGCAGCUCACUGGAGCGCAACUGACGCUGAAGCUCGAAAGUGCGGGUAUCGAACAGGAUUAGAUACCCUGGUAGUCCGCACGGUAAACGAUGGAUGCCCGCUGUUGGUCUGAAUAGGUCAGCGGCCAAGCGAAAGCAUUAAGCAUCCCACCUGGGGAGUACGCCGGCAACGGUGCAACUCAAAUGAAUUGACGGA
rnacentral:rRNA from 1 species